rnacentral:rRNA from 1 species
AUUGAACGCUGGCGGCAGGCCUAACACAUGCCAGUCGAGCGAGCGGCGGACGGGUGAGUAAUGUCUGGGAAACUGCCAGAUGGAGGGGGAUCACUACUGGAAAAGGUAGCUAAUCCCGCAUACCAUCAGAUGUGCCCAUAUGGGAUUAGCUAGUAGGUGGGGUAAUGGCUCACCUAGGCGACGAUCCCUAGCUGGUCUGAGAGGAUGACCAGCCACACUGGAACGGAGAAACGGUCCAGACUCCUACGGGAGGCAGCAGUGGGGAAUAUUGCACAAUGGGCGCAAGCCUGAUGCAGCCAUGCCGCGUGUGUGAAGAAGGCCUUAGGGUUGUAAAGCACUUUCAGCGGGGAGGCGUUACCCGCAGAAGAAGCACCGGCUAACUCCGUGCCAGCAGCCGCGGUAAUAC